UACGUAGGGUGCAGGCGUUAAUCGGAAUUACUGGGCGUAAAGCGUGCGCAGGCGGUUUUGUAAGUCAGAUGUGAAAUCCCCGGGCUUAACCUGGGAACUGCGGUUGAAACUACAAGGCUAGAGUGUGGCAGAGGGGGGUGGAAUUCCACGUGUAGCAGUGAAAUGCGUAGAGAUGUGGAGGAACACCGAUGGCGAAGGCAGCCCCCUGGGUUAACACUGACGCUGAAGCACGAAAGCGUGGGGAGCAAACAGG
rnacentral:rRNA from 1 species